rnacentral:misc_RNA from 1 species
GUGCACGCCCGAGCUCUUAAAUCCACAACACACCUGUGAACCCACCGUAGGCCUUCGGGCUUAUGUAUUUCAUACACAAACUCAUAGAAUGUUCAUGUUGCUUUAAAAUGCAAUCAAAUACAACUUUCAACAACGGAUCUCUUGGCUCUCGCAUCGAUGAAGAACGCAGCGAAAUGCGAUAAGUAAUGUGAAUUGCAGAUUUUCAGUGAAUCAUCGAAUCUUUGAACGCACCUUGCGCUCCUUGGUAUUCCGAGGAGCAUGCCUGUUUGAGUGUCAUUAAAUUCUCAACCCCACCAGAUUUGAUUCUGGGGGGAUUGGACUUGGAGUGUGCUGGCGAAGGUCGGCUCCUCUUUAAUGCAUCAGUGGAGAGAAAUUUGCCUCGGUGUGAUAAUUUUGUUGCGCUGUGGUGGGUGAUAGUCUGCUUCAACCGUCCUUCCGGGACAUGUCAUCUCA